rnacentral:rRNA from 1 species
GGAUUAGAUACCCUGGUAGUCCACGCCGUAAACGAUGUCUACUAGUUGUUGGGAGACUUGAUCUCUUAGUAACGAAGCUAACGCGAUAAGUAGACCGCCUGGGGAGUACGGCCGCAAGGUUAAAACUCAAAGGAAUUGACGGGGGCUCACACAAGCGGUGGAGCAUGUUGCUUAAUUCGAAACAACGCGAAGAACCUUACCAGGGUUUGACAUGCACGGAUUACCUCUAUGAAAGUAGAGCUACGCUCGCAAGGGUGGAACGUGCACAGGUGCUGCAUGGCUGUCGUCAGCUCGUGUUG